AAUAACAGAAAGUUUAUUCAAGAAUUGUUUUGACAGACAACUCUUUUAACUAAGGGGAAAAAAAUAACUACGGAAGAACAAAGAAAGUUCCAAGAGAGAAUUAAGUUCUUAUCUCUACAAAUUCAGGACUCUACAGUGACAUUUAGGAGCUGAGUUCAUGCCUUUUAGAACUAAUUACAAUUCCUCAUAUGUACGAGUUUAACAUAAAUCUACAGCUCUUGUCUAGAAUACAAUAAAAACUAAAAUAGCUGGUUUUACAUGACAGGAAACACAACAACCUUUAUAACAAGUAAAUACUAAAAAAGUACAUUUUUCCUUUUUUUUGUCCCUCAUAUAAAUACAUAAUGUAGGGGGAUAAAUAAUACAAAAAAGAAAAUAUUUUAACAGGCUAUAACCAAUAAAUAUAUAUGAAAAUGUUCACUAGAACACACGCUUUUUGAGCGAAGCUGGACUUUCUGCAGGCCCAGACAUCUCUCACAGUUGUUUUUUUUUUUUUUUUUAAUAUCCAUUAAAAUGUAAACUCCAAGUGCAACAAGACUGUCCUGUCAGGAACUGGAGCAAGGUCCACAGGUCCAGCUGUAGCACCUGCCAGGACAGACAGUUUGUUCAAAUAUACCCUGUUUUCACGUUAAGUCAAGAGAAGAACAGAAGUAAAAAGAAAGUGGAUGGAGUGGGAUGGGGUGGGAGCUGAGAGACUGGAGAAUGGGCAAGCCUCCAGUCCUGACAACUUGCCUGCCUUAGCCUCUUAACUUUUCUUUAAAAGAAAAAAAAUAUAUAUUUAUUUAUAUUAUAGGCAGCUCUGACUUUCAGGAUAUCUUACCAUCCCUGAGCCCUCUGAAAAUUGUAAUCAAUAGGGGUGGGGUGUAGAUAUGAAUGUCCUUAGAGCAGAAAACCAACCGUAGGGCCAUAGUAAAUGAUAGAUAUAGUAAGAAGCCUAACAGAUGGGGGAGGGGGGAGUUGAAGCUUCAGGGAAGUAGGAGAGAAACAUACUUUGUGCCCUUCGAUUUAAAUGUGUUUUCUUAUUUUUCAUAGGGAGACUGAAAGGGAGAACAACAACAACAAAAAAAAUCAAGAUUUCGGGGGAAAUUACCCACAGAGAUGCAAGUGCUGGAACCCUGGGAACCCUGGGAUUGAUGUGGUCCCGUCUCCAACCUGCUGUGGAUUCCUUUCCAAGGGUUGUUGGCAGACAGAUGGAACCAGGCAUGGAGGACUUAAAAGACAGCCCCUGGGGGCGGGGAGGGGGCCUGGGAGCUGGGAAGGCACCCCAGGCCUGUUCUGUUUCUGGAAACCUGGCGACAACCCCAUCCCACACCUCUUUCAGGACUCUAAACCGCGCCCAUCCCCCAAGUCCGCCAUCUCCCUGGCCCUUAACCUCACCCCUCCCUCCCCAGCCCGCCCCUCCCAUCACAGGUGUGUCAGUUUGGGCGCUUCUUGGAUUCUACCCUGAGGCGGUGCGUGGUGAGAGGAGAGGUCUGUGUACGUGGGGUGAGGGUCACAGGGUCCGUGAUGCUGGUUGGGGGCCAUAGGGGCCGCCCCGUUGUAGUCCAGGUUCCCCGAGGGGUGGUGGGAAAGGUGAUUGAGGCCGUAGAGGGAGGGGCCGGCAGGGGGCGGCAGCGGAUCCGCGUAGCCACCCCCGCCCACAUACACCGGGCUGCCCUGCAUGGUGGGCGUCCCGUAGGCGCCCCCGUUAGCUUGGAGGACGUGGGGCUCAUACUCCGACGCCGGGGUCGGGGGGUACUUCUGUGGAGCGCCGCAACCCUUGAGAGGGGGCUGGUAGUUGGAAGGCAGCGCGUAGGCAUUCUGGUGGCCUUUGCCGAAGGCUGGUGGGGACGGGCUGUCGUAGCUGGGGGUCAUGGAGUGUAAGGCGUUCAUGAAGCCGGCCGUGGACUGCAUGGGCUGCGGGGGGCUUCCGGCCGGAGAGGGACCCCCAGAGGACGAGGCCAGCCCCUUGGCCUUCUGGUCUUUCUUGUACUUCAUGCGACGGUUCUGGAACCAGAUCUUGAUCUGGCGCUCGCUGAGGUUCAGCAGAUUGGCCAUCUCGACCCGGCGCGGCCGGCACAAAUAACGGUUGAAGUGGAACUCCUUCUCCAGCUCCACCAGCUGCGCGCUUGUGUACGCCGUGCGCGCCCGCUUGGACGCCGCCGACCCCGGGGGGCUCUUGUCCCCUCCCCCGCCGCCGCUGCCGCCCCCGCCGCUGCUGCCGCCGCCGCCACCACCGCCGCCGCCGCCACCACCGCCGCCACCGCCACCACCACAACCUUCUGCUGGACCCGAGGGGGGAGGGGUGGGAAGGGGAGAAAAUGAAAUAAAAGAUAAUUACUGAACACGC
rnacentral:lncRNA from 1 species